rnacentral:misc_RNA from 1 species
UCUCCGUAGGUGAACCUGCGGAGGGAUCAUUACUGAGUGAGGGCCUCUGGCCCGACCUCCAACCCUUUGAUGUCCGACUCUGUUGCCUCGGGGGCGACCCGGCCUUCGGGCCCGGGGCCCCCCGUGGUCCACUCAACUCUGCAUCUUUGCGUCUGAGUAAACAUUAAAUGAAACAAAACUUUCAACAACGGAUCUCUUGGUUCUGGCAGCGAUGAAGAACGCAGC